rnacentral:rRNA from 1 species
CCUCUCCUUGUUCCUUCCAGCCUAUAUACCGCCGUCGUCAGCUUACCCUGCAAAGGACCUAAAGUAAGCAAAAUUGGCUAACCCCCCAAAACGCCAGGUCGAGGUGUAGCGUAUGGAGAGGGAUGAGAUGGGCUACAUUCCAUCCCAGAUGGCACACGAACGGUUAGAUUGAAACAUCAACCUGAAGGAGGAUUUAGCAGUAAGUGGGAAAUAGAGCGUCCCACUGAAUCUGGCCCUGAAGCGCGCACACACCGCCCGUCACUCUCCCCGAAUAAAAACCUUUUUAUCCCUAAUACCAUACAACACGUAAGGGGAGGCAAGUCGUAACAUGGUAAGUGUACCGGAAGGUGCACUUGGAUAACC